rnacentral:rRNA from 1 species
GAUGAACGCUGGCGGCGUGCCUAAUACAUGCAAGUCGAGCGAACAGACGAGGAGCUUGCUCCUCUGACGUUAGCGGCGGACGGGUGAGUAACACGUGGAUAACCUACCUAUAAGACUGGGAUAACUUCGGGAAACCGGAGCUAAUACCGGAUAAUAUAUUGAACCGCAUGGUUCAAUAGUGAAAGACGGUUUUGCUGUCACUUAUAGAUGGAUCCGCGCCGCAUUAGCUGGUUGGUAAGGUAACGGCUUACCAAGGCAACGAAGCGUAGCCGACCUGAGAGAGUGAUCGGCCACACUGGAACUGAGACACGGUCCAGACUCCUACGGGAGGCAGCAGUAGGGAAUCUUCCGCAAUGGGCGAAAGCCUGACGGAGCAACGCCGCGUGAGUGAUGAAGGUCUUCGGAUCGUAAAACUCUGUUAUUAGGGAAGAACAAAUGUGUAAGUAACUAUGCACGUCUUGACGGUACCUAAUCAGAGAGCCACGGCUAACUACGUG